UGAGGUAGUAGGUUGUGUGGUUU
rnacentral:ncRNA from 5 species